GACGAACGCUGGCGGCGUGCUUAACACAUGCAAGUCGAACGGAAAGGCCCUGCUUUUGUGGGGUGCUCGAGUGGCGAACGGGUGAGUAACACGUGAGUAACCUGCCCUUGACUUUGGGAUAACUUCAGGAAACUGGGGCUAAUACCGGAUAGGAGCUCCUGCUGCAUGGUGGGGGUUGGAAAGUUUCGGCGGUUGGGGAUGGACUCGCGGCUUAUCAGCUUGUUGGUGGGGUAGUGGCUUACCAAGGCUUUGACGGGUAGCCGGCCUGAGAGGGUGACCGGCCACAUUGGGACUGAGAUACGGCCCAGACUCCUACGGGAGGCAGCAGUGGGGAAUAUUGCACAAUGGGCGGAAGCCUGAUGCAGCAACGCCGCGUGCGGGAUGACGGCCUUCGGGUUGUAAACCGCUUUCGCCUGUGACGAAGCGUGAGUGACGGUAAUGGGUAAAGAAGCACCGGCUAACUACGUGCCAGCAGCCGCGGUGAUACGUAGGGUGCGAGCGUUGUCCGGAUUUAUUGGGCGUAAAGGGCUCGUAGGUGGUUGAUCGCGUCGGAAGUGUAAUCUUGGGGCUUAACCCUGAGCGUGCUUUCGAUACGGGUUGACUUGAGGAAGGUAGGGGAGAAUGGAAUUCCUGGUGGAGCGGUGGAAUGCGCAGAUAUCAGGAGGAACACCAGUGGCGAAGGCGGUUCUCUGGGCCUUUCCUGACGCUGAGGAGCGAAAGCGUGGGGAGCGAACAGGCUUAGAUACCCUGGUAGUCCACGCUGUAAACGGUGGGUACUAGGUGUGGGGUCCAUUCCACGGGUUCCGUGCCGUAGCUAGCGCUUUAAGUACCCCGCCUGGGGAGUACGGCCGCAAGGCUAAAACUCAAAGGAAUUGACGGGGCCCCGCACAAGCGGCGGAGCAUGCGGAUUAAUUCGAUGCAACGCGUAGAACCUUACCUGGGUUUGACAUGGAUCGGGAGUGCUCAGAGAUGGGUGUGCCUCUUUUGGGGUCGGUUCACAGGUGGUGCAUGGCUGUCGUCAGCUCGUGUCGUGAGAUGUUGGGUUAAGUCCCGCAACGAGCGCAACCCUUGUUCACUGUUGCCAGCACGUUAUGGUGGGGACUCAGUGGAGACCACCGGGGUCAACUCGGAGGAAGGUGGGGAUGACGUCAAGUCAUCAUGCCCCUUAUGUCCAGGGCUUCACGCAUGCUACAAUGGCUGGUACAGAGAGUGGCGAGCCUGUGAGGCUGAGCGAAUCUCGGAAAGCCGGUCUCAGUUCGGAUUGGGGUCUGCAACUCGACCUCAUGAAGUCGGAGUCGCUAGUAAUCGCAGAUCAGCAACGCUGCGGUGAAUACGUUCCCGGG
rnacentral:rRNA from 1 species